rnacentral:rRNA from 1 species
ACUCAAAGGAAUUGACGGGGGCUCGCACAAGCAGUGGAGCAUGCGGUUUAAUUCGAUGUUACGCGAAAAACCUUACCAACCCUUGACAUGGUGGUCGCGCGUUCUAGAGAUAGAAUGCUUCGGUUCGGCCGGACCACACACAGGUGUUGCAUGGCUGUCGUCAGCUCGUGUCGUGAGAUGUUGGGUUAAGUCCCGCAACGAGCGCAACCCUCAUUCUUAUUUGCCAGCGGGUAAUGCCGGGAACUAUAAGAAAACUGCCGGUGAUAAGCCGGAGGAAGGUGAGGACGAUGUCAAGUCAUCAUGGCCCUUACGGGUUGGGCUACACGCGUGCUACAAUGGUAACUACAGAGGGAAGCAAGACAGUGAUGUGGAGCAAAUCCCUAAAAGUUAUCUCAGUUCGGAUUGCACUCUGCAACUCGAGUGCAUGAAGUUGGAAUUGCUAGUAAUCGCGGAUCAGCAUGCCGCGGUGAAUACGUUCUCGGGCCUUGUACACACCGCCCGU